GUAUCUUCGGAUAUGAGUAGAGCGGCGGACGGGUGAGAAACGCGUAGGAAUCUACCUAGUAGAAGGGGAUAGCCCGGGGAAACUCGGAUUAAUACCGUAUACCUCCUAAGGGAGAAAGAGGGCCUCUCUUGAAGCUCUCGCUAUUAGAUGAGCCUGCGUAAGAUUAGCUUGUUGGUAAGGUAAUGGCUUACCAAGGCUACGAUCUUUAGCUGGUCUGAGAGGACGAUCAGCCACAUUGGGACUGAGACACGGCCCAGACUCCUACGGGAGGCAGCAGUGGGGAAUAUUGGACAAUGGGCGCAAGCCUGAUCCAGCCAUACCGCGUGUGUGAAGAAGGCCUUCGGGUUGUAAAGCACUUUAAGCAGGGAGAAAAAGCAAUAAGUUAAUACCUUAUUGCCGUGAUGUUACCUGCAGAAUAAGCACCGGCUAAUUCCGUGCCAGCAGCCGCGGUAAUACGGAAGGUGCAAGCGUUAAUCGGAAUUACUGGGCGUAAAGCGCGCGUAGGUGGUUUGUUAAGUUGGAUGUGAAAGCCCUGGGCUCAACCUAGGAACUGCAUCCAAAACUAACUCACUAGAGUACGAUAGAGGGAGGUAGAAUUCAUAGUGUAGCGGUGGAAUGCGUAGAUAUUAUGAAGAAUACCAGUGGCGAAGGCGGCCUCCUGGAUCUGUACUGACACUAAGGUGCGAAAGCGUGGGUAGCGAACAGGAUUAGAUACCCUGGUAGUCCACGCCGUAAACGAUGACAACUAGCUGUUGGGAGACAAUGUCUUUCAGUGGCGCAGCUAACGUUUUAAGUUGUCCGCCUGGGGAGUACGGCCGCAAGGCUAAAACUCAAAUGAAUUGACGGGGACCCGCACAAGCGGUGGAGCAUGUGGUUUAAUUCGAUGCAACGCGAAAAACCUUACCUACUCUUGACAUACUUUGGAAGCUCUUGUAAUGAGAGUGUGCCUUUUGGAACC
rnacentral:rRNA from 1 species